GACGAACGCUGGCGGCGUGCUUAACACAUGCAAGUCGAACGGAAAGGCCCUGCUUUUGUGGGGUGCUCGAGUGGCGAACGGGUGAGUAACACGUGAGUAACCUGCCCUUGACUGUGGGAUAACUUCAGGAAACGGGGGCUAAUACCGGAUAGGAGCUCCUGCUGCAUGGUGGGGGUUGGAAAGUUUCGGCGGUUGGGGAUGGACUCGCGGCUUAUCAGCUGGUUGGUGGGGUAGUGGCUUACCAAGGCUUGGACGGGUAGCCGGCCUGGGAGGGUGACCGGCCACAUUGGGACUGGGAUACGGCCCAGACUCCUACGGGAGGCAGCAGUGGGGAAUAUUGCACAAUGGGCGGAAGCCUGAUGCAGCAACGCCGCGUGCGGGAUGACGGCCUUCGGGUUGUAACCCGCUUUCGCCUGUGACGAAGCGUGAGUGACGGUAAUGGGUAAAGAAGCACCGGCUAACUACGUG
rnacentral:rRNA from 1 species